rnacentral:rRNA from 1 species
GUCCAGACUCCUACGGGAGGCAGCAGUGGGGAAUAUUGCACAAUGGGGGAAACCCUGAUGCAGCGACGCCGCGUGAGUGAAGAAGUAUUUCGGUAUGUAAAGCUCUAUCAGCAGGGAAGAAAAUGACGGUACCUGACUAAGAAGCCCCGGCUAACUACGUGCCAGCAGCCGCGGUAAUACGUAGGGGGCAAGCGUUAUCCGGAUUUACUGGGUGUAAAGGGAGCGUAGACGGCGAUGCAAGCCAGAUGUGAAAGCCCGGGGCUCAACCCCGGGACUGCAUUUGGAACUGUGUGGCUGGAGUGUCGGAGAGGCAGGCGGAAUUCCUAGUGUAGCGGUGAAAUGCGUAGAUAUUAGGAGGAACACCAGUGGCGAAGGCGGCCUGCUGGACGAUGACUGACGUUGAGGCUCGAAAGCGUGGGGAGCAAACAGGAUUAGAUACCCGGGUACC